rnacentral:tRNA from 1 species
GGCAACGUGGCUCAGCUGGUAGAGCACUUGCCUGAUGUGCAUGAGGUCCUGAGUUUAAUCCCUAGCAUUGCAA